GCCAGACUCCUACGGGAGGCAGCAGUGGGGAAUAUUGCACAAUGGGGGAAACCCUGAUGCAGCGACGCCGCGUGAGCGAUGAAGUAUUUCGGUAUGUAAAGCUCUAUCAGCAGGGAAGAAAAUGACGGUACCUGACUAAGAAGCCCCGGCUAACUACGUGCCAGCAGCCGCGGUAAUACGUAGGGGGCAAGCGUUAUCCGGAUUUACCGGGUGUAAAGGGAGCGUAGACGGCGAUGCAAGCCAGAUGUGAAAGCCCGGGGCUCAACCCCGGGACUGCAUUUGGAACUGUAUAGCUAGAGUGUCGGAGAGGCAGGCGGAAUUCCUAGUGUAGCGGUGAAAUGCGUAGAUAUUAGGAGGAACACCAGUGGCGAAGGCGGCUUGCUGGGUCGAUACUGACAUUGAGGCACGAAAGCGUGGGGAGCAAACAGGAUUAGAUACCCUAGUA
rnacentral:rRNA from 1 species